AUUGAACGCUGGCGGAAUGCUUUACACAUGCAAGUCGAACGGCAGCACGGACUUCGGUCUGGUGGCGAGUGGCGAACGGGUGAGUAAUGUAUCGGAACGUGCCCAGUCGUGGGGGAUAACGUAGUGAAAAUUACGCUAAUACCGCAUACGAUCUAUGGAUGAAAGCGGGGGAUCGCAAGACCUCGCGCGAUUGGAGCGGCCGAAAUCAGCUUAGGUAGUUGGUGGGGUAAAGGCCCACCAAGCCAACGAUCUGUAGCUGGUCUGAGAGGACGACCAGCCACACUGGAAUUGAGACCAGGUCCAGACUCCUACGGGAGGCAGCAGUGGGGAAUUUUGGACAAUGGGCGAAAGCCUGAUCCAGCCAUUCCGCGUGCAGGAUGAAGGCCCUCGGGUUGUAAACUGCUUUUGUACAGAACGAAAAGGUUUCUACUAAUACUAGGAGCUCAUGACGGUACUGUAAGAAUAAGCACCGGCUAACUACGUGCCAGCCGCCGCGGUAA
rnacentral:rRNA from 1 species